AUGCCUUCUUUUUCUCUCAGAAGGCAUGACAUAGUCAUGGGGAUCAUCUUGGACCUGAAAGAAAGAAGCCUGAACAUGAAAGGAAGGAGGUCUUUGAGGAAACUGUGCCAACUACCCCAGGGUCAUUUCUGUCAUUUGCCUUCCCUGGAAAGGUUGGAAUUGUACCUGGAAGGAGCACUGGGGAAGCAACAUGAGCUCUGCUUUGUCACCCUUCAAAAAAAUCGCUUACCUGGGUUCAGAACCUUCUGCCCUGCAGUCUGGCAGCCCCCUCAUCCCCAGCCCCCUGCAUGUAGACAUCCACAGCUUUCCUUUUCUUCCUGUCUCCUCUGUCCUCUGACUUCAAGACCAGGUUUUCAUUUCACUAGAAAAACCUUGCUUCAGGUAUUAUUUUAUGGAAAAGCCUGGGCUCCAAAUAAGCACUCAAUAAAUAUGUAUUGAUUUGCAUGCAAAUUUUAGACAAAAGAAGAAAAAGCUUUGGAUCCAGAAGACAGAAAAGCUAGGGGUGUGGAUGGGGGCAACAACGAACUAGACUCUAUUCCUUCUGCUCUUCUGUCCACUUUCCCUGGCUCCCUCUCCCUCCCUCAGCCCAGGGAGGCAGCCGUGGUGUAUUUAGUGUACUGCUGUCAUCUGAUUACAUCCAAACAGAUUGCAAAGCUCCAAUCAAUGCCAGAGCAGAAAUGCACACACAGGCAGUUGUUUCCGUGGAAAUGUUCCAGCUAUAAUUUACCUCCGAAGAGAGCUAUCCAAACAACAGCUUCCUUGACCCUCUGAGGAGAAACAGUCACAACCGGACUUCAAGGGACAGAUGGGGAUAGAGUCUCUGACGUGCAGCUUGGCGUGUGCAUGUGGGUGUCCCACCUUUGCCGCCUCUGAAGCGGUGCUGAAUUCAAACACUGGGCUGGGGGCUGGCGGCAGCUCUGAGAUCAUGCAGUUGAUCUUGUUUGACAGACAGCAGCCCAGCCUGUUGUGCUGAGUACAGAAUGUUCUCUUCUGUGAACUGUGCUUGAACUUUUCCAACCCACUUGGUUUGAGGAACCACACAGACACAUAGGGAAAAGACAGGGAAGAUAACCCCCAAAUCGUUGAAACCAUGGUGUUCUCGGGGAUUUAGGCUCAGGCUGUUUGCUCUUCAUUGCUUGAAAUUAAAAAUCCCAAGCAUUAUACUUCUUGGAAGAACAAAAUGCUUGUAAUGUCCUUCCUCUAAGACAGGACUUGGCAUCAACUCUGGAAAUUAACCAGUCUGUCACUGUCUCUCUUCAAUUUCUUUCUUUUUUUCCUCUUAGGCAUUCAAGGAACACAAAAAUAACAGUUGUUUUCCUGUAAAGGAAAGAUAAGGUCCCUGGGUGCUUGUGACUACUCUCUCAGUGGUUCAAACUGACACAACAUUAUAAAGAGUAUUCUCCAGUUUGCUGCUCUGACUGGAGAGUGUUGAUAGUGAGGCCAUUGGCCUCGAUGUAGAUGACCAAUGAGAGGGACCAGUGAUCUUCACCUAGGGCAUAGAUGGGUUAGGGGGCUCCCCAGAGGGUCUGUGGGAUAGGCAGUAUGGUGCAGCGUCCUGGUUUCCCAACUCAUUAUGAUCACUGUUGUUAUUUUAAGAGAGAGUCUUGCUGUGUUGUCUAGGCUAGACCCAAACUUCUGGGAUCAAGUGAUUUUCCUUUCUUGUCUGUGAAGUAGGUGGGACCAUGCACCACUACACACUCAGUUAUUCCCAGUCCCUUUUAUUUUUUAUUUGAGACUGGGUCUCCCUAAGUUGCCAGUCUGGGCUCGAACUUAUAACCAACUCCUCUCAGCCUCUCUGAGUAGCUGGGAUUACAGGUGUAUACCACCAUGCCUGGCUGCACUUCCUUUUUAUGGUUGUUUGUAUAACACUGGGCAUCUUCUCCUGAGACUCACUGGUGAAAGGAGCAUACAUCUGUCAGAUGUACA
rnacentral:lncRNA from 1 species